CAUUGUACCACCUAGUUGCCCAUGUAUGCUUAUCUAUAUGUUAUCUUCCAUGAUAAACUCCUUGAAGAAGUGGGGCACUAUGGGCUUUAAACCCAGCCCUUUCCCCACUACCCCACCCUGCUAGUGGAUGCCCAAGGUCGCUUCCAGCUCUGCCAUCCUGGGAUUCUGCACUCACAAAGAUAUCUCUGGCAACACCCCUGCCACCUUCACACCGCCUCCUCCACCUUCUCCUGGUGGGUGGAUACACAGGGCUGGAUUUGUCUUCUUCCUCUUUUUCUGCCUGAUCCUACACAGAAGACCUAUUCAGUGUGUUGGAUGUCUUCCUCUGGAUUUUUUUUCAUAUGUCGUGGGCACCGGUGAAACAUUCAGACUUUUCCCUCUUUGUCGCCUCAUUCUUAUUUCAUGACUUGCCCACCUCCUCUUCUGAUCCGAUGCUGUCUUGAUGACAUCCCUUGCAGGUCGUCCUUGAGAACAUAUUGUGAUCUACUUGCAACCCCACCUCCCAUGCCUCAUCGCAUCACCCUUUGGGUCAUCAACAAUUUUGAUUGCCUAGUGGUGGCGGUAUUCUAAGACAUUUUGACUGUGCAGCAUCUCCACAAGUAUAUCUGAGUUAAAAAGACAGGUCACCUUGCUGGGGAGCAGCUUGGGAAUAAUAGAAGCCCUACCCAAUUUCCUAAAUGCAAUCUGGCUUGUUGAUGCCUUUCCUCUGUUGAUCAUUUCCAACCUAUGCUAUAUAUAGCUUGUUUGGAUAAAGUUUACAUGUUGUUGUCUCCAUUAGACGAUGAAUUCUGUGAAAUCAGGAACUACUUUUUGCCUUUCUUUGUAUCUCUAGCACUUAGGACAGUGUCUGGCACAUAGCAGGUGCUUAAGAAAAGUUUACUGACUGGUCUCAACUCACCGUCCAUCAGCUGUGUCUUUCUUAAAUAUAUGUACCAGUGGACUAAUUCAGUGGCUUGGCUAUCUGACUUGUGUGUCAAAGCCUGGACAAGAAGCAUUUUUUUUCUCCAUUUAAUUAUUCCUAUCUGGAUCAUUAGGGUGAUUGCUUUUAAGUGAUGACAGUUUCUCUUGGGGGGGAGGGAAUACAAUGUUCAUGAUUCAAUAAAUACAAUAUCAUAUGCAAAAAAUGGUAACUGGAGGAACUCAAUCUCAUUUUAUUUGGCCCUCGUACAUCAAGAUAUUAGGCAUGACAGCAGCAAACACUACUGAUGAGGGAUGUCUUCCUGUUUUAUGCCUCACUUGACAUUAAUCAUCAGAUGGCUGCUGAACAGAAAAGUCUCUGUAGUUGCA